rnacentral:rRNA from 1 species
UACGGAGGGGGCUAGCGUUGUUCGGAAUUACUGGGCGUAAAGCGCACGUAGGCGGCUUUGUAAGUUAGAGGUGAAAGCCCGGGGCUCAACUCCGGAACUGCCUUCGAUACUGGCGAUCUCGAGUCCGGAAGAGGUGAGUGGAACUCCUAGUGUAGAGGUGGAAUUCGUAGAUAUUAGGAAGAACACCAGUGGCGAAGGCGGCUUACUGGUCCGGUUCUGACGCUGAGGCGCGAAAGCGUGGGGGAGCAAACAGG